AUUGAACGCUGGCGGCAGGCCUAACACAUGCAAGUCGAGCGGAUGAGAAGAGCUUGCUCUUCGAUUCAGCGGCGGACGGGUGAGUAAUGCCUAGGAAUCUGCCUGGUAGUGGGGGACAACGUUUCGAAAGGAACGCUAAUACCGCAUACGUCCUACGGGAGAAAGCAGGGGACCUUCGGGCCUUGCGCUAUCAGAUGAGCCUAGGUCGGAUUAGCUAGUUGGUGAGGUAAUGGCUCACCAAGGCGACGAUCCGUAACUGGCCUGAGAGGAUGAUCAGUCACAAUGGAACUGAGACACGGUCCAGACUCCUACGGGAGGGAGCAGUGGGGAAUAUUGGACAAUGGGCGAAAGCCUGAUCCAGCCAUGCCGCGUGUGUGAAGAAGGUCUUCGGAUUGUAAAGCACUUUAAGUUGGGAGGAAGGGCAGUAAGUUAAUACCUUGCUGUUUUGACGUUACCGACAGAAUAAGCACCGGCUAACUCUGUGCCAGCAGCCGCCGUAACAC
rnacentral:rRNA from 1 species